rnacentral:tRNA from 1 species
GGGCUUAUGGUCUAGUUGGUUAUGACGUCGCUCUCACACAGCGGAGGUCGCCGGUUCGAAUCCGGCUAAGCCCA